UAAUUGGGCGUUAAGUUGCAGGGUAUAGACCCGAAACCCGGUGAUCUAGCCAUGGGCAGGUUGAAGGUUGGGUAACACUAACUGGAGGACCGAACCGACUAAUGUUGAAAAAUUAGCGGAUGACCUGUGGCUGGGGGUGAAAGGCCAAUCAAACCGGGAGAUAGCUGGUUCUCCCCGAAAGCUAUUUAGGUAGCGCCUCGUGAAUUCAUCUCCGGGGGUAGAGCACUGUUUCGGCUAGGGGGCCAUCCCGGCUUACCAACCCGAUGCAAACUGCGAAUACCGGAGAAUGUUAUCACGGGAGACACACGGCGGGUGCUAACGUCCGUCGUGAAGAGGGAAACAACCCAGACCGCCAGCUAAGGUCCCAAAGUCAUGGUUAAGUGGGAAACGAUGUGGGAAGGCCCAGACAGCCAGGAUGUUGGCUUAGAAGCAGCCAUCAUUUAAAGAAAGCGUAAUAGCUCACUGGUCGAGUCGGCCUGCGCGGAAGAUGUAACGGGGCUAAACCAUGCACCGAAGCUGCGGCAGCGACACUGUGUGUUGUUGGGUAGGGGAGCGUUCUGUAAGCCUGUGAAGGUGUGUCGUGAGGCAUGCUGGAGGUAUCAGAAGUGCGAAUGCUGACAUAAGUAACGAUAAAGCGGGUGAAAAGCCCGCUCGCCGGAAGACCAAGGGUUCCUGUCCAACGUUAAUCGGGGCAGGGUGAGUCGACCCCUAAGGCGAGGCCGAAAGGCGUAGUCGAUGGGAAACGGGUUAAUAUUCCCGUACUUGGUGUUACUGCGAAGGGGGGACGGAGAAGGCUAUGUUGGCCGGGCGACGGUUGUCCCGGUUUAAGCGUGUAGGUGUGUGUUCCAGGUAAAUCCGGUU
rnacentral:rRNA from 1 species